UCGCGCUACUGCACUCCAGCCUGGGUGACAGAGGGAGACUGAGUCUAAAAAAAAAAGCACAGUGAUGCUAGGCCAGAGUCUGGGCCCCUGUGUCUGAACAGUAGGUUUUCUUGGAGUAUUGGUGUGCUCUUUAAUAGAAAAUUGUAAGAGUUGGGCCGGGCAUGGUUGUUCAUCCUUGUAAUUCUAGCACUUUGAGGCCAUGAGAUUGAGACCAGCCUGGGUAGGAUAGUGAGACCCUAUCACUGUUAUUUUAAAAAUUAGGAAAAAGAAAAUUGUAAGAGUUUAUAAAAGGUUUUUGGGAAUCUUACUUUGUAUGGUCAAAGCUGCCUGAGAAUGGACGAUUGAUAAUACACUAAUAUAAAAGUUAAAUCUUGUUUUCUCUGUUGAAUAAGAAUUUCAUGUUGUGUUAAGAAGAGAUAGUAAGCUGGGUGUGGUGGCUUAUGC
rnacentral:lncRNA from 1 species